rnacentral:tRNA from 1 species
GGUAAAAUGGCUGAAUGGUUAGGCGAUAAAUUGUAAAUUUAUUUAUGGGAGCUAAUCCCUUUUAUCA